AUUGAACGCUGGCGGAAUGCUUUACACAUGCAAGUCGAACGGUAACAGGUCUUCGGAUGCUGACGAGUGGCGAACGGGUGAGUAAUACAUCGGAACGUGCCCGAGAGUGGGGGAUAACGAGGCGAAAGCUUUGCUAAUACCGCAUACGAUCUCAGGAUGAAAGCAGGGGACCGCAAGGCCUUGCGCUCACGGAGCGGCCGAUGGCAGAUUAGGUAGUUGGUGGGAUAAAAGCUUACCAAGCCGACGAUCUGUAGCUGGUCUGAGAGGACGACCAGCCACACUGGGACUGAGACACGGCCCAGACUCCUACGGGAGGCAGCAGUGGGGAAUUUUGGACAAUGGGCGCAAGCCUGAUCCAGCCAUGCCGCGUGCAGGAUGAAGGCCUUCGGGUUGUAAACUGCUUUUGUACGGAGCGAAAAGACUCUGGUUAAUACCUGGGGUCCAUGACGGUACCGUAAGAAUAAGCACCGGCUAACUACGUGCCAGCCGCCGCGGUAA
rnacentral:rRNA from 1 species